rnacentral:rRNA from 1 species
AUUGAACGCUGGCGGCAUGCCUUACACAUGCAAGUCGAACGGUAACGCGGGGCAACCUGGCGACGAGUGGCGAACGGGUGAGUAAUGUAUCGGAACGUGCCCAGUAGUGGGGGAUAGCCCGGCGAAAGCCGGAUUAAUACCGCAUACGACCUACGGGUGAAAGCGGGGGAUCGCAAGACCUCGCGCUAUUGGAGCGGCCGAUAUCAGAUUAGGUAGUUGGUGGGGUAAAGGCCUACCAAGCCUACGAUCUGUAGCUGGUCUGAGAGGACGACCAGCCACACUGGGACUGAGACACGGCCCAGACUCCUACGGGAGGCAGCAGUGGGGAAUUUUGGACAAUGGGCGAAAGCCUGAUCCAGCCAUGCCGCGUGCGGGAAGAAGGCCUUCGGGUUGUAAACCGCUUUUGUCAGGGAAGAAAAGGCUCGAACUAAUACUUUGGGCUCAUGACGGUACCUGAAGAAUAAGCACCGGCUAACUACGUGCCAGCAGCCGCAGUAACAC